GAGGGUAUAGCUCAAGUGGUAGAGCAUAUGGUUAGUAUUCAUGAGGUCCUGGGUUCAAUCCCCAGUACAUCCU
rfam:Camelus ferus unplaced genomic scaffold scaffold2756, whole genome shotgun sequence.